CAGGUGUGUGCCACCAGGCCCAGCCAGAUAAUCCUAAUUAGACUAGAAAAUAGCAUUCUUUACAUUGUAUUUUAUAGCUGUGCUGUCUGGAUGUGUAGUCCACACAUCAGCUGCAUUAGCAUCACCUGAAGCUUGUUAGAAAUUCAAGUUAAGGCUUCUCUAUAGAGGUGGAGUCCAGAAAUCUGUUUUAACAAAUCUUCCUGGCAAUCUCAAGACCAUAGUUUUAAGAACUACUAUAGGUAGAACUGUGUAUAACAUAAUUUCUCUUUAGCCUUACAAAUCAAUUUUUCUUACUUCUGAUUGCCAUGUUUGUCUUCAGAAUGUAUAGUCUCUGAACUGAGGUUUGAUUGGAAAUUUUUACUUUUGCAUCCAACCUGAAUUCCCAAAGCAUUUUAGUCAUAUAUUGCGUUUUGGAAAGAUUGCUUAACAUGACCCUCAGAUCAGAUUAGAAUCUAAAACUAAGUUUUUUAAGAAGAACUUCAGAAGGAACACUUAAAUGAUGACAGCAGGAGAGCUGAGUUGACAUAGGAAGAACAACCUAAGAAGCAAUACCAGGUUGUAUUAAAAGUUAUACCGAAGAAACAGGUAAGAUUGAAAGAAUGGGGUAUUGGAGUAAAUCUAAUUUCUCCAUAUGAUAGCCCUUUAUGUGUAUUUUAGGCAACUCUUCUGUUCCUGAUGUUUUGUUUUAUUUGGCUCUUCUUUAGAAUAAUCCCUGCCUGCCUCAAUGGUUAUUUAAGAGAGAUUCUGUAUGCCUCUGAAAGCAUGGUUCCCUUAGCUAAACAUCAUGCUCCUAAUUCUAGUUGGCUUGCCAAUACAACUGAAAUAUCUCCUCCCUUGCAUUUAAAUAAUAUCAUGCAGUGGGCGCUCGUCAUUCUUCUCCAUCAUGCAUAGUUUAUCAUAACUUUACCUAGAAAUUGGGAUGAUCUAUUGUGUUAACUGAUUUUCUUUGUCCAAAGGAAAGAUGAUCAUUUUUAAAGGAAUUAAG
rnacentral:lncRNA from 1 species